UGGGGAAUAUUGGACAAUGGGCGCAAGCCUGAUCCAGCCAUGCCGCGUGUGUGAAGAAGGCUCUAGGGUUGUAAAGCACUUUAAGUUGUGAGGAAGUUACGAUUGCAAAUAGUGGUCGUAAUUGACGUUAGCAACAGAAUAAGCACCGGCUAACUCCGUGCCAGCAGCCGCGGUAAUACGGGGGGUGCAAGCGUUAAUCGGAUUUACUGGGCGUAAAGAGCACGUAGGCGGUUGAUUAAGUUGGAUGUGAAAGCCCAGGGCUUAACCUUGGAACUGCAUUCAAAACUGGUCAACUCGAGUAAGGGAGAGGAGAGUGGAAUUUCCAGUGUAGCGGUGAAAUGCAUAGAUAUUGGAAGGAACACCAGUGGCGAAGGCGACUCUCUGGCCUAUUACUGACGCUGAGGUGCGAAAGCGUGGGGAGCAAACAGG
rnacentral:rRNA from 1 species